GACGAACGCUGGCGGCGUGCUUAACACAUGCAAGUCGAACGGAAAGGCCCUGCUUUUGUGGGGUGCUCGAGUGGCGAACGGGUGAGUAACACGUGAGUAACCUGCUCUUGACUUUGGGAUAACUUCAGGAAACUGGGGCUACUACCGGAUCGGAGCUCCUGCUGCAUUGUGGGGGUUGGAACGUUUCGGCGGUUGGGGAUGGACCCGCGGCUUAUCAGCUUGUUGGUGGGGUAGUGGCUUACCAAGGCUUUGACGGGUAGCCGGCCUGAGAGGGUGACCGGCCACAUUGGGACUGAGAUACGGCCCAGACUCCUACGGGAGGCAGCAGUGGGGAAUAUUGCACAAUGGGCGGAAGCCUGAUGCAGCAACGCCGCGUGCGGGAUGACGGCCUGCGGGUUGUAAACCGCUUUCGCCUGUGACGAAGCGUGAGUGACGGUAAUGGGUAAAGAAGCACCAGCUAACUACGUG
rnacentral:rRNA from 1 species